rnacentral:rRNA from 1 species
AUAAUCCCUGUGGGGGAAAGAUUUAUCGCUAUUAGAUGAGCCUAUGUUAGAUUAGCUAGUUGGUAGGGUAAAGGCCUACCAAGGCGAUGAUCUAUAGCUGGUCUGAGAGGAUGAUCAGCCACACUGGAACUGAGAUACGGUCCAGACUCCUACGGGAGGCAGCAGUGGGGAAUAUUGGACAAUGGGCGCAAGCCUGAUCCAGCUAUGCCGCGUGAGUGAGGAAGGCCUUAGGGUUGUAAAACUCUUUCAGUAGGGAAGAUAAUGACGGUACCUACUGAAGAAGUCCCGGCAAACUCCGUGCCAGCAGCCGCGGUAAUACGGAGGGGGCAAGCGUUGUUCGGAAUUAUUGGGCGUAAAGGGCAUGUAGGCGGUUCGGUAAGUUAAAGGUGAAAUGCCAGGGCUUAACCCUGGAGCUGCUUUUAAUACUGCCA